UACGGAGGAUGCAAGCGUUAUCCGGAUUCAUUGGGUUUAAAGGGUGCGUAGGCGGGCUAUUAAGUCGGUGGUGAAAUCCUGCAGCUUAACUGCAGAACUGCCGUUGAUACUGAUAGUCUUGAGUUUGGUUAAGGUAGGCGGAAUGUGUAAUGUAGCGGUGAAAUGCUUAGAUAUUACACAGAACACCAAUUGCGUAGGCAGCUUACUGAGCCGACACUGACGCUGAGGCACGAAAGCGUGGGGAUCAAACAGGAUUAGA
rnacentral:rRNA from 1 species